rnacentral:rRNA from 1 species
GUGAGAGCAAGAGCCCGGAGAUGGAUUCUGAGACACGAAUCCAGGCCCUACGGGGUGCAGCAGGCGCGAAAACUUUACAAUGCUGGCAACAGCGAUAAGGGAACCUCGAGUGCCAGGUUACAAAUCUGGCUGUCGAGAUGCCUAAAAAGCAUUUCAUAGCAAGGGCCGGGCAAGACCGGUGCCAGCCGCCGCGGUAACACCGGCGGCUCGAGUGGUAACCGUUAUUAUUGGGUCUAAAGGGUCUGUAGCCGGCCGGAUAAGUCUCUUGAGAAAUCUGGCAGCUUAACUGUCAGGCUUUCAGGAGAUACUGUCUGGCUCGAGGCCGGGAGAGGUGAGAGGUACUUCAGGGGUAGGGGUGAAAUCUUGUAAUCCUUGAAGGACCACCAGUGGCGAAGGCGUCUCACCAGAACGGACCUGACGGCAAGGGACGAAAGCUAGGGGCACGAACCGGAUUAGAUACCCGGGUAGUCCCAGCUGUAAACGAUGCGCGUUAGGUGUAUCGGUGACCACGAGUCAUCGAGGUGCCGAAGGGAAACCGGAAACGUGCC